rnacentral:misc_RNA from 1 species
GAAAUGCGAUAAGUAAUGUGAAUUGCAGAAUUCAGUGAAUCAUCGAAUCUUUGAACGCACCUUGCGCUCCUUGGUAUUCCUUGGAGCAUGCUUGUUUGAGUAUCAUGAAAUCUUCAAAGUAAAUCUUUUGUUAACUCAAUUGGUUUCUACUUUGGUAUUGGAGGUCUUUGCAGCUUCACACCUGCUCCUCUUUGUUCAUUAGCUGGAUCUCAGUGUUAUGCUUGGUUCCACUCGGCGUGAUAAGUUAUCUAUCGCUGAGGACACUGUAAAAGGUGGCCAAGGUAAAUGCAGAUGAACCGCUUCUAAUAGUCCAUUGACUUGGACAAUACUUUUAUGAUCUGAUCUCAAAUCAGGUAGGACUACCCGCUGAACUUAAGC